UCCGAGUUGUCCCCGGCAGUCCCUCUAGAGUCCCCGGCAUUACCCGCUGGCAACUAGAAGCAGGGGUUGCGCUCGUUGCGGCGCUUAAGCCAACACCUCACGGCACGAGCUGACGACAGCCAUGCAGCACCUGUGCAAGCUCCCCUUGCGGGGUCGUCCCACUUUCAUGGUCCUACCACUUGCAUGUCAAGGCCAGGUAAGGUUCUUCGCGUUGCAUCGAAUUAAGCCACAUGCACCACCGCUUGUGCGGGCCCCCGUCAAUUCCUUUGAGUUUCAAUCUUGCGAUCGUACUUCCCAGGUGGAUCACUUAAUGCUUUAGCUCAGACACCAACAGUAUAUCGCUGAUGUCGAGUGAUCAUCGUUUAGGGCGUGGACUAC
rnacentral:misc_RNA from 1 species